rnacentral:lncRNA from 1 species
UGUUGAUCUUUCAGGUCUUUGCCUUAAUAGUUGCUGUUUGCGCAGAGUUUGGCUACCAGGAAUGUUUACUGAGUAUUUGUUGGCCAGCUGUCCAACCCCUUCCAUCCUGCCCCUCUAAAGAGGGUUUCAUCAGAUCCCAUUAAAACCCGGGAGCUUAUUUUAAGACUGUAGACCCUACGAGGCCUCUGGAGCAUUUGUGCUUCUUAUCCUCGUGCAUCAUUUUUUCCACAUUCGCUGCAAUACUCCUUGUUAAGCUUCUAAAAGGCUUUCAGAUGAACCAUAUGGAGAACUAUAUAGGACGUGGGUUCUAGUUGCCAAUACUGCUGAGCUGCUGGAGCCACAUCUCCUGAUUCUGAGGUGUUGUGGCAGCAGAAGAGGCA